UACAGAGGUCUCAAGCGUUGUUCGGAUUCAUUGGGCGUAAAGGGUGCGUAGGCGGCGCGGUAAGUCGGAUGUGAAAUCUCGGAGCUUAACUUCGAAACUGCAUUCGAUACUGCCGUGCUUGAGGACUGGAGAGGAGACUGGAAUUUACGGUGUAGCGGUGAAAUGCGUAGAUAUCAGGAGGAACACCAGUGGCGAAGGCGGUGGUCUGGGCCGGAACUGACGCUGUAGAGCGAAAGCGUGGAGAGCGAACAGG
rnacentral:rRNA from 1 species